rnacentral:rRNA from 1 species
UACGGAGGGUGCAAGCGUUUUCCGGAUUUCUUGGGUUUAAAGGGUGCGUAGGCGGCCCGGUAAGUCAGUGGUGAAAGCCUCCAGCUCAACUGGAGAACUGCCAUUGAUACUGCCGGGCUUGAGUACAGACGAGGUUGGCGGAAUUGAUUGUGUAGCGGUGAAAUGCAUAGAUACAAUCAAGAACUCCGAUUGCGUAGGCAGCUAACUAGGCUGUAACUGACGCUGAGGCACGAAAGCGUGGGGAGCGAACAGG